rnacentral:rRNA from 1 species
UACAGAGGGUGCAAGCGUUAAUCGGAAUGACUGGGCGUAAAGGGCACGUAGGCGGCCAGAUGUGUUAUAGGUGAAAUCCCCCGGGCUUAACCUGGGAACUGCCUAUAAAACUGUUUGGCUAGAAUAUAGGAGAGGUAAGUGGAAUUUCCGGUGUAGCGGUGAAAUGCGUAGAUAUCGGAAAGAACACCAGUGGCGAAGGCGACUUACUGGCCUAAUAUUGACGCUGAGGUGCGAAAGCGUGGGGGAGCAAACGGG